AGUAGUACUGCUAUCCCAAGAGAGGGAAUCGGAGACUAUGGAAGCUUGGCAAAUGGCAGGAAGGCCACUCUCCGAAGGGGAGGCUCAUUCUGCAAAGAGGUGCUGAAGGCUGCUUGUCCCCGACCCCAUUUCCCAGCCUCCUUUGUGGUUAGCUGUGGCCGUGCGGAUGGGCAGGGGGUGGAGGGUGGUCUGUCCCUCUGGUUCUCAUCCUCUUGCACAACCUUACACUGGCUGGCCGUCCCCCUGCCUGGGGGCUGCGGAGGGUCCUGAGACAGGCGAUGGCUGGAGGGGUGUCUGGGACCAGCCCCUCACCUCCCAACCCUUGAGUUCACCGUGCAGACAGGAGGGCGUGCGCUGGGGUGGUGGCUAUGCUUAGUCGCUCGCUCGUGUCUGACUCUGUGACCCCCUGGACUGGAGCCCCCCAGGCUCCUCUGUCCCUGGGAUUCCCCAGGUACGGACACUGGGGUGCAUUGCCAUGUCCUCCUCCAGGGGAUCCUCCCAGAUCAGGCAUGGAACCUGUGUCUCCUGCUUUGGCUGGGGGACUCUUCACCACCGAGCCGCCCGGGAAGCCCACAGUUGUGCAGUGGCCCCGAUUCCCACAAACUGCUUCUGUGCCCAGUGCUGCGGGGCCCCUACCCUGCUCGAGGGCUCCUCCUGCGUUUUGGAGAGGCUGUGGGGACACCCGCGGUGGCGGAGGGCUCUGGCCCCUGCCAGCAAGAGACGGUUUCCUGAGGAUGUUGACCACGGCCUCUUCCUGGCUGGGACGAUACUGCUUGAGGUCGACUGAAGCUUUUUACACCAUCCCGGUGGCCCGGCUCGGAGGUGGGAGGCUGCCUGGCGUACCCCUGGCACCCGCCUGUGCUCUGGUCCUCUGCCCCCCACAGACCCCCCUGCACUCUGCUCCGCCAUGAGGGGUUUACAAGAGUGAGACCAGCUUGAUGUGUUUGCAAGUUUCCCUUGACAACCCAGGUUCCCCACCUGAAGUGGGAUGUUGAGGGUCUGACCUUGACCCUGGGCCUGGCCUCGCCAGGGAGGGGUGGCCUUGAGGCUGAGGGUGGCUGCCCAUUUCCAGCUAGGCAUCGGUGGCCCUCCUCUCUCCCCCGGGCCUGGUGGCGAGCGGCCCCUCUGUGUAGACAAGCUGCUGGAGCGCAGAGAGAGGGUCAGAGAGGUCACACCAGCCCGCAGGGACCCACGGGGCAGCGCGAGAAGCUGAUCGGCCCCUCCCUGGGGGUCUUCGGUUCCCACGGCCAUCAUCCUGGGUCUCUGCAGGGCCGCCCCUGAGGGCUAGUGAGGCCAACUGCACGGGGCACCUGGGGAGGAAGCAAGGGCAAGAACUGGGGACUUACGUGGCCAAGGUCCUUCUGGAUCAAACAUUUGGCAAUCAUGUGAUUAAAGCGUGGUGAGCUCCAGGCAUGCAGCAGCGCGCAACGGUCUGCCUUUAGCUGGUCUUGCUCUUCCGCCUGAACAAGGCCACGCAGGGCUGAAAACUGUGAGACCUGACUUUCCCUGGCUGCGGCUUUCCUUCCUGCACGACCCUCACCCCUUCCAAACGGGCCGUCUGCAAGUGAACUUCUCCCGCAGAGAAGAGAAGGCUUUCCCCGGGCACUGGGCGAGGUGAGCGCAGGGCUCGUGGAGGCACCGUGUGUCCUCCCCUCCUGCCGUCAGGUCCUCGACUCCCUCUCUCCAAGGCUGUGUCUGUUGCUGCAGCCAGCGAGGCCCCGAGGCUGCAGAGCCGCAGGCGAUGGUGCCCUGUGGACGUGUGGAGAGGCACCGAAGGGGAUGGACACAUACGAGUUCAGGGUGGCUCUAUCCGCUGACAUCUCCCCUGUGCAUUCCUGCGAGGCUGGAGGAGGCUGCAGGAACUCGGACGCCUACCGACGUCUUUCCAGCAGGACACGGCCUACUUCUAACUGAGAGAGACAAGGAGCAGGAGACCACGACGAAAUUACUUCCUGCUUGGAUGCUACCUCCUGGCAGUCUCUGAGGGCACAAGUUAAGGCCAUCAAGAGAUGCUGAAUUAAGAGCUAACAGCAUAUUCUAUCACCAUUUCCCUUGGGUUCUCUGAGGGUCAGAAUUCUCAGGACACAGCUUGGAGGAAACUGUGGCAGGGACUAACCUGUCACUCCCUUUUGAAACCAGAUUCCUCAAGGUAGGCGUAAAUGCUACACAAACAUAUACAGAUAUAUCUGGACAGCAGGUGUUCGUACAUAUAUUACAUACAUAGUAGUGAAGGACGAACAGUUAUGCAAAGUUAACAUGAAGGAAACCGUGACAAUCCAGGUGAAAUUAGUCGGAGGGGGAGGGGCAAAGUGGCUUCUUUAGGAACACAGAUGUCUGUGGACACAGGUCAUGGUCAUGAGGCUUACGAUGCACUGAUACAGGUUGAGAAGGUUGUACACAGAGGUCUGUCACCAGCGCCGUGAGGGUCUACUGUUACUCAUACAAACACAAAACCGACCAAUGAAGAGACAUGCUUCCUAAACAUGCAUUGCUCUGCACAUAACACCUUUAACGAAGGGGAGAGGUCUAAACGAGAGGUUUUCUUGGACGAUUCUGUACCAACAGAAAGCUCUCCUUUCCUAUGAAACGUACAAGCUCACAUCCUAACGCUACAGCUUUGUCUCCAAGACACUGAAAACACUCUGGGGACGGGGGGCGGGGGUGUGUGAAUGCAAAUGUAGAUACACGGUUCGUUAAGGCUUCGAUAAAUUAAAAAAAAAAAAAAAGUGGUCCAAAGUAUGUCACAUUUUUCUUCCCAGUUGUAAAAUCUAAAGUACAAAGUGGAGUUUAUUAAGCAUUAUUUUAAAAAACACAUCUUGGACCUAAAAUCGGCAGUUUUGACUUACCAGGAUGCACCCCAAAGUCUAAGAGGUAGAGCGGGACCUCCUGGGGCGGGGCAGGGCGGGGCGGGGCAGGCGGGCCCCUGCGCGGCUUCGCCCCCUGCUGGCAGGGCAGGAGUCGACACCGGGGUCCGCCAGGGCUGGGGUGGGGCAGCUUGUGAGGAGGCAAGAGGGGCCUAGCGCACGGCUGGGCGGGGGCGUGAGGACUGGUUAACCCAGGCGCGCUCUCUAUGGAUCCUGACAUUUCAGAGGCGACAUCCAAGACUUAGAUAACAGCGGAGUCACGUGAGAAACAGUAACUGUGAGGACAAUGAGUAGUUUGCCGCACGCUAGCUCUGUUUUCAGGGGAGCCAGUUUGGACCUGGCGAGGUCACACGGCAGCGGUCCACGCUGUCUGUCGAACAGUGUGAGAUGCAGAAAGCAGUUCAAAUAUUUUGCAAACCAUUCUUCUCAGAAUCUGUGCCUGCAUCCUUAUGUGGGAGGAACAAACCAUGUCAGGUUCUUGAAGCAUUUGUCAUCUGGCCUUAGGGAGUAUCUGGUGGGAGCUACCAAAGCGCCGUGGUAAGUAAAGGGACGUGUUUCAGGAGAAAGGAAAAGAGCACUGAGACCCACGCCUCGCCGUUUCCUGUUGCAGAGGCGGCGGGUGCAGGAGCAGACCCUGCCUGGAGCCAAUCCCUCCCCAGAUUCACCGUUAGGCCGACAAGAGGGGGGACUAGAGACACGCAGGACUUUUACAGGUGACUGGGUUAGCUGAUGUUUAAAAACCUUUCAACCACAUGCAAUAUGCAAAUUCUGGAACUGACUUCUUAACCUCAUGGCUAAAUGGCUCUUAACGGCUCUUUUCCAGGGGCCUAGAGAAGCUGGAUUCUGGUCAUUUCUAAAAAGGCAUCACUGUUAAGAGAUCCAGGGGCGGCGACAGCGUCUUCCACCCCCAGGUGUGCUGAGUGGGGUGGGCAGAGGCCCUCUGCUCUUCCUUACUGCUUCCUGAGAGUACAGUGCGACAGGGGUGGACAGCGGUCGUCACGAUCAAGAGAAAACAAGAUGCAGGCCCUGCAGCCGGGCGGCAGGUCGCCGUGCCCCAGCCUUGGCCCCGACAGCACCGCAGACCUGAGACCAGAACCCAGGCUCCCGCGGCUCUGGGAGCCCGACACGGAGCGACGCUCUCCCCAGAGUCAGG